rnacentral:snRNA from 1 species
AUACUUUCUUGGCUUUAUGACUAAGAUAAAGUGUAAUAUUUGUUUUUAUUAGUUUAAUAUAUGAUAUAUAGACUAUAUGUCCACUUUAAUAUAAAACUUAUUUUUUAUGAGUAUCAAGUAUGUUUGGGUGCCGUCGCAACACACAUC